GAUGAACGCUGGCGGCGUGCCUAAUACAUGCAAGUCGAGCGAACGGACGAGAAGCUUGCUUCUCUGAUGUUAGCGGCGGACGGGUGAGUAACACGUGGAUAACCACCCUAUAGGACGGGGAUACCUUGGGAAAACGGGAGCUAAAACCGGAAAAAAUUUUAAACGGCAGGGUCCAAAAGUAAAAGAGGGCCUGGCGGUACCUAAAGAAGGAACCGCGCUGCAUUAGCUAGUUGGUAAGGUAACGGCUUACCAAGGCAACGAUGCAUAGCCGACCUGAGAGGGUGAUCGGCCACACUGGAACUGAGACACGGUCCAGACUCCUACGGGAGGCAGCAGUAGGGAAUCUUCCGCAAUGGGCGAAAGCCUGACGGAGCAACGCCGCGUGAGUGAUGAAGGUCUUCGGAUCGUAAAACUCUGUUAUUAGGGAAGAACAUAUGUGUAAGUAACUGUUCACAUCUUGACGGUACCUAAUCAGAAAGCCACGGCUAACUACGUG
rnacentral:rRNA from 1 species